rnacentral:rRNA from 1 species
GAUGAACGCUCGCGGGAGGCCUAACACAUGCAAGCCGAGCGGUAGAGUUUCUUCGGAAACUUGAGAGCGGCGCACGGGUGCGUAACACGUGUGCAACCUACCUUUAUCUGGGGGAUAGCCUUUCGAAAGGAAGAUUAAUACCCCAUAAUAUAAUGAUUGGCAUCAAUUAUUAUUGAAAACUCCGGUGGAUAGAGAUGGGCACGCGCAAGAUUAGAUAGUUGGUGAGGUAACGGCUCACCAAGUCAAUGAUCUUUAGGGGUCCUGAGAGGGAGAUCCCCCACACUGGUACUGAGACACGGACCAGACUCCUACGGGAGGCAGCAGUGAGGAAUAUGGGACAAUGGGUGAGAGCCUGAUCCAGCCAUCCCGCGUGAAGGAUGACGGUCCUAUGGAUUGUAAACUUCUUUUGUACAGGGAUAAACCUACCCUCGGGAGGGUAGCUGAAGGUACUGUACGAAUAAGCACCGGCUAACUCCGUG